rnacentral:tmRNA from 1 species
GGGGGUGACUGGUUUCGACAUCGGAUGUUGAGACGGGAGAAGCGGGCCGAGGAUCACGGUGAUCUUGUAAUCCAUCCGUGAAAAAGAUAGGUGCCAAUCAAAACCGCACCAACUUCGCUCUCGCUGCCUGACAGCGACUAGGUGAAGCGUUCGGCGGGAAGUGUCCCCGCACCGUCGGACGUCGUUAGGGGACUAACCAAGGGCGCGGGUCACGCGCGUCGGCGGAAGACCAAACAGUGACUUGGGCCGUGUUACCUGCUGUGUCGCACGAAGCAGGGAGGCCGAGAACGCGCAACGACGACUGCGCCCGGAGAAUGCCCCGAUCACCACCGAUGGACCCGGGUUCGAUUCCCGGCACCUCCACAA